UGGGAUUGGGAUGUGGGGUAUAGGAUUGGGGUGUGGGAUUGGGAUUUGCAUUGGGAUGGGGGCUGUGGGGUGUAGGGUUGAGGUGUAGGGUUGAGGUGUAGGGUUGGGGAUUUGGGAUUUGCCUUGGGAUGGGGGCUGUGGGGCCUGGAUGUGGGCUAUUGGGCUGGGAUGUUGGGUUGGGAUUGAGGCUAGGAUGUGGGAUAUAGGAUUAGGGGUGUGGGACCGGGGUUUGCAUUGGGAUGUGGGCUGUGGGGCUGGGGUUGGUGCUGGGUUUGAGGUUGGGGUUGGCAUAUAGGAUUAGAGGUGUGGGAUUGAGAUUUGCAUUGGGAUGGGGGCUAUUGGGCUGGGAUGUUGGGUUGGGAUUGAGGUUAGGAUGUGGGAUAUAGGAUUAGGGGUGUGGGACCGGGGUUUGCAUUGGGAUGUGGGCUGUGGGGCUGGGGUUGGCAUAUAGGAUUAGAGGUGUGGGAUUGGGAUUUGCAUUGGGCUGUGGGGCUGGAAUGUGGGGUUGGGAUUGAGGUCAGGAUGUGGGAUGUAAAGAAACGUGCCCUGUUCACAGGUGGGUCGUGUGGUGUUGUGGGGAAGCACUGCAGAUGGAAAGCUGCUGUGUGGAGCCCCACAGGAUGAGUUGCAGAGGCCCCUGAAGGAAAAGGAGAAGGAAGGGCAUUUGCAGAGGGAAAGGCUGUCCCGCUGGCCUUAGGUGUUGCUGAACGGGAGGGGUGGCCAAUGCUUUCUCUUUCCGCUGACUCACGGAUGGUGACAAA
ensembl:lncRNA